CCAGCACCCAACUUUACCACCCUCCCCCACCUCUCCCCCGAAACUCCAGCAACAAAGAAAAGUAGUCGGAGAAGGAGCGGCGACUCAGGGUCGCCCGCCCCUCCUCACCGAGGAAGGCCGAUGGAGUCUCACUCUGUUGCCCAGGCUGGAGUGCAGUGUUGUGAUCUUGGCUCACUGCAACCUCUGCCUCCCGCGUUCAAGGGAUUCUCCCUGCCUCAGCCUCAUGAGUAGCUGGGAUUACAGAGCGUCUGCCCUGUCCAAGGAGGUGAUAUGCACAGGGAGGAUGUUGGAAGCCACGACUGUAAACCAAGCUGACUGAUUUCCCU
rnacentral:sRNA from 1 species